rnacentral:rRNA from 1 species
UACGUAGGGCGCAAGCGUUAUCCGGAAUUAUUGGGCGUAAAGAGCUCGUAGGCGGUUUGUCGCGUCUGCCGUGAAAGUCCGGGGCUCAACUCCGGAUCUGCGGUGGGUACGGGCAGACUAGAGUGAUGUAGGGGAGACUGGAAUUCCUGGUGUAGCGGUGAAAUGCCCAGAUAUCAGGAGGAACACCGAUGGCGAAGGCAGGUCUCUGGGCAUUAACUGACGCUGAGGAGCGAAAGCAUGGGGAGCGAACAGG